rnacentral:lncRNA from 1 species
GCUGGCCUGCACAUCACUGAGUAAAUUUCUGUAAAUUUCAGAGAUGAUGCUGGGUGCUUCUGUUUGUUUGUGUUGAUAUGAUGUGUCCUCUUGUCUGUCCCGAUGCUGGAAUGAAAUGGCAAUGGAAAGUUCAGUUAUCAUCCGAUGCCUCUGUUUGCUGCUUGAUUGCUUUGUGAUUUUUCAGUGGUCUAGUUGUAAAAUGAAGCACGGUUAUGCAGUUGUAAAAUGGAGUUCAGUUAUCAUCUGGAUUUUUUGGUUUUGCUUGUGUGCCCUGUUAUUUUUGUUUGCUGGCUCUGUGGUUCAGUGUUUCUGCACCUUUUCCCCCGUGUCUGUACAGUGAUUUGAUGAACGCAUAUGGGCUUUUGGCUCUGCUCGAAGUGAUUCUGAAUUUUGUUUGGGUAAGCUAGCUAGCUGAAGGUGAAUAAGCGACAUAUUUUGAAUUCUGUUCUCUGUACAUUUUGUCGUUAUUGCAUUCAGUUUUAGGAUAAUCAUCACACCACUGACUCAGUAUCUACCUAACCUUUGGUGCUUGCAGUACAAUUGAUAUGCCAAUUGUGUUGUGUUAUCUUCCAUAUGCAAAUGAAGACACCAUACUGUCAGGUUUCUUUCAAGCUCAGGUGGUGUGGUAUCUGCUCGUGUGAAGACAUCUGUGUGCGGCUGCAGAGAGUGGUAUUCUAGCAGGUAAUUUAGGACACCUUGCAAGCAGCAACUACCCCCUCCGUAAAGAAAGUGAUCUAAACGCUCUUAUAUUUUUAGUGAUCUAAAUGCUCUUAUAUUUCUUAUUUUUAGUGAAACUGCUACGAAUACAAUCCUGCCUGCGAACAUAGAAUCCUGCCUGCGCAUUUUGAAGCAAGACUCCUGUGAUUAUUUAUACUGAACUCUGUUUGUGUUUUAUCUUG